rnacentral:rRNA from 1 species
UACGUAGGGGGCAAGCGUUGUCCGGAUUUAUUGGGCGUAAAGAGCGUGUAGGCGGUUUGGUAGGUCCGUUGUGAAAACUCGAGGCUCAACCUCGAGACGCCGGCGGAAACCAUCAGGCUAGAGUCCGGAAGAGGAGAGUGGAAUUCCUGGUGUAGCAGUGAAAUGCGCAGAUAUCAGGAAGAACACCCGUGGCUAAGGCGGCUCUCUAGUACGGUACUGACGCUGAGACGCGAAAGCGUGGGGAGCGAACAGG